GGUUUCUUGAUUUAUUAUAGGAAAUUUAACCUGCCCACUGAAAAAUUUUUGAAGGGCCGCAGUAUUUUGACUGUGCAAAGGUAGCAUAAUCAUUAGUCUUUUAAUUAAAGGCUGGUAUGAAUGGUUGGACGAGGUAAAAUCUGUUUUAUAUUAAUUUUAUUGAAUUUAGAUUUUGAGUAAAAAUACUCAAAUAAUAUUAAGGGACGAGAAGACCCUAUAGAGUUUAAUAAUUAAAGUUUUAAUUGAGUUAAAUUUUAAUUUUUGAUUAUUAUGAUAUUUAUUUAAUUGGGGUGAUUAAAAGAUAAAUUAAACUCUUUUUUGAAAUUAAUAAUUUUAUUAAUUUAUUGAUCCAUAAAUUAUGAUUAUAAGAUUAAAUUACCUUAGGGAUAACAGCAUAAUUUUUUUUAAGAGUUCUUAUCGAAAAAAAAGAUUGUGACCUCGAUGUUGGAUUAAGAUUAAUAUUGGGUGUAGAUGUUCAAUUAUUAGGUCUGUUCGACCUUUAAAUUCUUACA
rnacentral:rRNA from 1 species